GUGGGGAAUCUUCCGCAAUGGACGAAAGUCUGACGGAGCAACGCCGCGUGAGUGAUGAAGGUCUUCGGAUUGUAAAGCUCUGUUAAUCGGGACGAAAGAGCCUAGUGUGAAUAAUGCUAGGAAGUGACGGUACCGGAAUAGAAAGCCACGGCUAACUACGUGCCAGCAGCCGCGGUAAUACGUAGGUGGCAAGCGUUGUCAGGAAUUAUUGGGCGUAAAGCGCGCGCAGGCGGAUCUGCCAGUCUGUCUUAAAAGUUCGGGGCUUAACCCCGUGAUGGGAUGGAAACUACAGAUCUAGAGUAUCGGAGAGGAAAGUGGAAUUCCUGGUGUAGCGGUGAAAUGCGUAGAUAUUAGGAAGAACACCAGUGGCGAAGGCGACUUUCUGGACGAAAACUGACGCUGAGGCGCGAAAGCCAGGGGAGCGAACGGGAUUAGAAACCCCAGUAGUCC
rnacentral:rRNA from 1 species